rnacentral:rRNA from 1 species
UACGUAGGGUGCAAGCGUUGUCCGGAAUUAUUGGGCGUAAAGAGCUCGUAGGCGGUUUGUCGCGUCUGCUGUGAAAACCCGAGGCUCAACCUCGGGCCUGCAGUGGGUACGGGCAGACUAGAGUGCGGUAGGGGAGAUUGGAAUUCCUGGUGUAGCGGUGGAAUGCGCAGAUAUCAGGAGGAACACCAAUGGCGAAGGCAGCUCUCUGGUACGUGACUGACACUGAGACGCGAAAGCGUGGGGAGCGAACAGG